rnacentral:rRNA from 1 species
AGAGUUUGAUUCUGGCUCAGAACGAACGCUGGCGGCGUGGAUAAGACAUGCAAGUCGAACGAGAGAAUUGCUAGCUUGCUAAUAAUUCUCUAGUGGCGCACGGGUGAGUAACACGUGAGUAACCUGCCCCCGAGAGCGGGAUAGCCCUGGGAAACUGGGAUUAAUACCGCAUAGUAUCGAAAGAUUAAAGCAGCAAUGCGCUUGGGGAUGGGCUCGCGGCCUAUUAGUUAGUUGGUGAGGUAACGGCUCACCAAGGCGAUGACGGGUAGCCGGUCUGAGAGGAUGUCCGGCCACACUGGAACUGAGACACGGUCCAGACACCUACGGGUGGCAGCAGUCGAGAAUCAUUCACAAUGGGGGAAACCCUGAUGGUGCGACGCCGCGUGGGGGAAUGAAGGUCUUCGGAUUGUAAACCCCUGUCAUGUGGGAGCAAAUUAAAAAGAUAGUACCACAAGAGGAAGAGACGGCUAACUCUGUGCCAGCAGCCGCGGUAAUACAGAGGUCUCAAGCGUUGUUCGGAAUCACUGGGCGUAAAGCGUGCGUAGGCUGUUUCGUAAGUCGUGUGUGAAAGGCGCGGGCUCAACCCGCGGACGGCACAUGAUACUGCGAGACUAGAGUAAUGGAGGGGGAACCGGAAUUCUCGGUGUAGCAGUGAAAUGCGUAGAUAUCGAGAGGAACACUCGUGGCGAAGGCGGGUUCCUGGACAUUAACUGACGCUGAGGCACGAAGGCCAGGGGAGCGAAAGGGAUUAGAUACCCCUGUAGUCCUGGCAGUAAACGGUGCACGCUUGGUGUGCGGGGAAUCGACCCCCUGCGUGCCGGAGCUAACGCGUUAAGCGUGCCGCCUGGGGAGUACGGUCGCAAGAUUAAAACUCAAAGAAAUUGACGGGGACCCGCACAAGCGGUGGAGUAUGUGGCUUAAUUCGAU